rnacentral:rRNA from 1 species
UACGUAGGGUGCAAGCGUUAAUCGGAAUUACUGGGCGUAAAGCGUGCGCAGGCGGUUAUGUAAGACAGUGGUGAAAUCCCCGGGCUCAACCUGGGAACUGCCUUUGUGACUGCAUAGCUAGAGUACGGUAGAGGGGGAUGGAAUUCCGCGUGUAGCAGUGAAAUGCGUAGAUAUGCGGAGGAACACCGAUGGCGAAGGCAAUCCCCUGGACCUGUACUGACGCUCAUGCACGAAAGCGUGGGGAGCAAACAGG